CCUACGGGAGGCAGCAGUGAGGGAUAUUGGUCAAUGGGGGAAACCCUGAAGCAGCAACGCCGCGUGAGGGCAGACGGUUUUCGGAUUGUAAACCUCUGUCGUCUGAGAAGAUAAUGACGGUAGCAGAGGAGGAAGCUCCGGCUAACUACGUGCCAGCAGCCGCGGUAAUACGGAGGGGGCAAGCGUUUUCCGGAUUUACUGGGUGUAAAGGGUGCGUAGGCGGGCCUGCAAGUCAGAAGUGAAAUCCUUGGGCUUAACCCGAGAACUGCAUUUGAAACUGUAGGUCUUGAGUAGAGGAGAGGUAGGUGGAAUUCUCGGUGUAGGGGUAAAAUGCGUAGAGAUCGGGAGGAAUACUCGUGGCGAAGGCGGCCUGCUGGACUUUAACUGACGCUGAAGCACGAAAGCGUGGGGAGCAAACAGGAUUAGAUACCCCGGUAGUC
rnacentral:rRNA from 1 species